rnacentral:tRNA from 2 species
GUGUCCGUAGCUCAGCAGGAUAGAGCAACGGCCUUCUAAGCCGUGGGUCGGGGGUUCGAAUCCCUUCGGGCACA